CCUACGGGAGGCAGCAGUGAGGAAUAUUGGUCAAUGGGAGAGAUCCUGAAGCAGCCACGCCGCGUGAGGGAAGACGGCCCUAUGGGUUGUAAACCUCUUUUGUCGGAGAACAAAACCCGGGACGUGUCCCGGACUGCGUGUAUCCGACGAAAAAGCAUCGGCUAACCCCGCGCCAGCAGCGGCGGUAAUACGGUGGAUGCGAGCGUAAUCCGGAUUGAUUGGGUUUAACGGGUGCGUAGGCGGUCCGUUAAGUCAGCGGUAAAGUUGCGGGGCCCAACCCCGACGGGCCGUUGAAACUGGCAGACUUGAGUUGGCGAGAAGUACGCGGAAUGCGCGGUGUAGCGGUGAAAUGCAUAGAGAUCGCGAAGAACUCCGAUUGCGAAGGCAGCGUACCGGCGCCAGACUGACGCUGAGGCACGAAAGCGUGGGGAUCGAACAGGAUUAGAUACCCUAGUAGUC
rnacentral:rRNA from 1 species